CAGCCACAUCAUGUUCAAGCUCUGUUUCCCAUACGAUCACCAAAGUUAAGCAACGUCAAGCCUUGUCAAUACCUAGAUGGGUGGCCACUUGGGAAUACUGGGUGCUGUAAU